UACAGAGGGUGCGAGCGUUAAUCGGAAUUACUGGGCGUAAAGCGUGCGUAGACGGUUAUUUAAGUCGGGUGUGAAAGCCCCCGGGCUCAACCUGGGAAUUGCAUUCGAGACUGAAUAGCUAGGGUACGGUAGAGGGAAGCGGAAUUUCCGGUGUAGCGGUGAAAUGCGUAGAUAUCGGAAGGAACAUCAGUGGCGAAAGCGGCUUCCUGGACCAGUACCGACGUUCAGGCACGAAAGCGUGGGGAGCAAAGCAGGA
rnacentral:rRNA from 1 species